rnacentral:misc_RNA from 1 species
GUUGCUAAUCCAAUCUCAACUACGCAUUUAUUCACAAAAUUAUUCCAGAUAUCUUAAUAUGAGUCUACAAAUCCAGCUUGUAGGACAAGCCCUGACAAUUAACUUGCUUCAUUCUUUCUACAUAUCACAAAUGUCUAUUCACACUUAAUAUAUAUAGGUACGUAUGCGUGCAAGUAUGCUGCAUUUAUGCGAAACCUUUUCAAUCUCAAAUUAUUUCCUCCUGAAACUCUGAGAGGCAAUUAGGCUCCCUUGUCUAUUUACGCAAGGUUAAAGGAACAUACUGGGAGAACACCACUCAACAGACUAG